rnacentral:rRNA from 1 species
AGCGAACGCUGGCGGCAGGCCUAACACAUGCAAGUCGAACGAACUCUUCGGAGUUAGUGGCGGACGGGUGAGUAACACGUGGGAACGUGCCUUUUGGUUCGGAAUAACUCAGGGAAACUUGUGCUAAUACCGAAUGUGCCCUUCGGGGGAAAGAUUUAUCGCCAUUAGAGCGGCCCGCGUCUGAUUAGCUAGUUGGUGAGGUAACGGCUCACCAAGGCGACGAUCAGUAGCUGGUCUGAGAGGAUGACCAGCCACACUGGGACUGAGACACGGCCCAGACUCCUACGGGAGGCAGCAGUGGGGAAUCUUGCGCAAUGGGCGAAAGCCUGACGCAGCCAUGCCGCGUGAAUGAUGAAGGUCUUAGGAUUGUAAAAUUCUUUCACCGGGGACGAUAAGGACGGUACCCGGAGAAGAAGCCCCGGCGAACUGCGU